UCUGGGUCCGACCCUGCUACCGGCACAACACACACCGUUCUGCAUAAAAGGACGCUUUCACCCCAUCUGUUCCACCCCGUCUGCACACACACGGCCGAGGAGAGAGCGGCGCAAAGAGAGGCAGAGAUGCAUGCAGGAGACACACAGAGACAGCAUCAGCUUGGACUCUUCAACCUCAGGUUUCCUCCACCAGAGCAAUGAAUCAACACCGAAUCAGCUGCAUAGUGGUACACACAAUCUGAUGGGAUUUUUGCUCAC